rnacentral:rRNA from 1 species
AUUGAACGCUGGCGGAAUGCUUUACACAUGCAAGUCGAACGGUAGAGGGGCAACCCUUGAGAGUGGCGAACGGGUGAGUAAUGUAUCGGAACAUGCCCAAUCAUGGGGGAUAACGUAGCGAAAGUUACGCUAAUACCGCAUACGAUCUACGGAUGAAAGCGGGGGAUCGCAAGACCUCGCGUGAUUGGAGUGGCCGAUAUCAGAUUAGGUAGUUGGUGGGGUAAAGGCCUACCAAGCCGACGAUCUGUAGCUGGUCUGAGAGGACGACCAGCCACACUGGGACUGAGACACGGCCCAGACUCCUACGGGAGGCAGCAGUGGGGAAUUUUGGACAAUGGGCGCAAGCCUGAUCCAGCCAUUCCGCGUGCAGGAAGAAGGCCUUCGGGUUGUAAACUGCUUUUGUACGGAACGAAACGCGCUGUGCUAAUACCACGGCGUAAUGACGGUACCGUAAGAAUAAGCACCGGCUAACUACGUGCCAGCAGCCGCAGUAA